rnacentral:rRNA from 1 species
UACGAAGGGUGCAAGCGUUACUCGGAAUUACUGGGCGUAAAGCGUGCGUAGGUGGUUUGUUAAGUCUGCUGUGAAAACCCGAGGCUCAACCUCGGGCCUGCAGUGGGUACGGGCAGACUAGAGUGCGGUAGGGGAGAUUGGAAUUCCUGGUGUAGCGGUGGAAUGCGCAGAUAUCAGGAGGAACACCAAUGGCGAAGGCAGCUCGCUGGGACGUUACUGACACUGAGGCGCGAAAGCGUGGGGAGCGAACAGG